rnacentral:lncRNA from 1 species
GACACAAUGACGUCAAAUGAAUCGAGAGUGCCUAAAGGGAAAGCUUGUACUUCAGAGCCUAGGCAUCCUCUUCCCAGGUCACUGUUUCCAAGCCACAGAACGUGGCCGCCCUGAAAAUAGAGAUACCAGGCCUCACUGCUUCCUGCAAGUCAGACAGCUUGGCCAGGACUGGAAACACCUCAGUGACAUCACCUUUUUGGGGAGGCCUGCCUCUGGGCAGCUGCCUGAAGGAUGAAAAGGAGGGGUGGGGAAAGGAGAACGAAAAAGAGGUAGAAAGAUAAAACUGGAUAUUUCCUCCUUAGAAUGGAAAAGUAUGAAACAGAUCAGAGAAGAUUAAGCCCCCAAAGGGGGGAAAAAAGAAAGAAAGUAGGAAGAUCAAGGACGUUAUUGACAGAGUUUUGGCAGAUAAAGGAAUAUCUCUCUCUGUAAUAAAGGAUCCCUUAACUUGACAGUUGGUUAGCAUGCCUCAAACUGGAAUGGGAGGUGUCAUUCUAAGCAAAUCGCUGAUUAAGCAUAGGAACCGAGGCCACAGCAUCAAUUGAUCACUCAAUCAAUAGUGUUGUUUGAGUGCUUACUGUGUAAAGAGCCAAAGAAAGAUGCAAAGACCUGAUCCACUGGAGAAGAACAAAGUCUGAAGUGAUGAAUAGAACAUUUCCUCCUGAAAUCCACUGGUUCUUCCAAAUUGGGGUGAUUAGUAACUUCCACUGAAGAGAUCAAUACUUCCAUGUUACUCACAAGUAAAAAAAAAAGGUUAGUGCUACUGGCAUUGCAUUAGACAAAAUUCUAUUUAUUGCUAUUGUUCUUGUCUGUCUGUCUCCCCCAGUUAGACUGUAAGCUCGUCAAAGGGCAGGGACUGUCUCUAUCUGUUACCGAUUUGUACAUUCCAAGCGUUUAGUACAGUGCUCUGCACAUAGUAAGCACUCAAUAAAUACUAUUGAAUGAAU